rnacentral:rRNA from 1 species
UACGUAGGGGGCAAGCGUUGUCCGGAAUCAUUGGGCGUAAAGCGCACGUAGGCGGCUCCGCAAGUCGGAUGUGAAAUCCCUCGGCUCAACCGAGGACGUGCAUCCGAAACUGCAGAGCUUGAGUACAGAAGAGGAUCGCGGAAUUCCCGGUGUAGAGGUGAAAUUCGUAGAUAUCGGGAGGAACACCAGUGGCGAAGGCGGCGAUCUGGGCUGAUACUGACGCUGAGGUGCGAAAGCGUGGGGAGCAAACAGG